UACGUAGGGGGCAAGCGUUGUCCGGAAUCAUUGGGCGUAAAGCGCGUGUAGGCGGUCCGGUAAGUCGGCUGUGAAAGUCCAGGGCUCAACCCUGGGAUGCCGGUCGAUACUGCCGGACUAGAGUUCGGAAGAGGCGAGUGGAAUUCCCGGUGUAGCGGUGAAAUGCGCAGAUAUCGGGAGGAACACCAAUGGCGAAGGCAGCUCGCUGGGACGUUACUGACGCUGAGGCGCGAAAAGCUAGGGGAGCAAACGGGG
rnacentral:rRNA from 1 species